AUUGAACGCUGGCGGAAUGCUUUACACAUGCAAGUCGAGCGGCAGCGCGGGGCAACCUGGCGGCGAGCGGCGAACGGGUGAGUAACAUAUCGGAACGUGCCCAUUGGUGGGGGAUAACACAUCGAAAGAUGUGCUAAUACCGCAUAAGACCUGAGGGUGAAAGGGGGGGAUCGCAAGACCUCUCGCCGUUGGAGCGGACGAUAUCGGAUUAGCUAGUUGGUGGGGUAAAGGCUCACCAAGGCGACGAUCCGGAGCUGGUCUGAGAGGAUGAUCAGCCACACUGGAACUGAGACACGGUCCAGACUCCUACGGGAGGCAGCAGUGGGGAAUUUUGGACAAUGGGGGCAACCCUGAUCCAGCCAUUCCGCGUGAGUGAAGAAGGCCUUCGGGUUGUAAAGCUCUUUCGGCAGGAACGAAACGGUUUGGGCUAAUACCCUGAGCUAAUGACGGUACCUGAAGAAGAAGCACCGGCUAACUACGUGCCAGCCGCCGCCGUAA
rnacentral:rRNA from 1 species